AGCGAACGUUAGCGGCGCGCCUAACACAUGCAAGUCGAGCGAGAAUUGGGGCUUCGGCUCCAUAGUAAAGCGGCGCACGGGUGAGUAACACGUAGGUAAUCUGCCUCUUGGUAGGGGACAACCUUCCGAAAGGAGGGCUAAUACCGCAUAAGACCACGCUGACCUUGGUCAGAGGGGUUAAAGGUGGCCUCUUCAUGAAAGCUAUCGCCAAGAGAUGAGCCUGCGUCCCAUCAGCUAGUUGGUAAGGUAAUGGCUUACCAAGGCUAAGACGGGUAGCUGGUCUGCGAGGAUGAGCAGCCAAGCGGGAACUGAGACACGGUCCAGCCUCCUACGGGAGGCAGCAGUGGGGAAUCUUGCGCAAUGGGCGAAAGCCUGACGCAGCGACGCCGCGUGGGUGAUGAAGGCCUUCGGGUUGUAAAGCCCUGUGGGGAGGGACGAACAAGUUGCGACCUAACACGUCGUGACUCUGACGGUACCUCCUUAGCAAGCACCGGCUAACUCUGUGCCAGCAGCCGCCGCAGUAA
rnacentral:rRNA from 1 species